CCUACGGGCGGCUGCAGUGGGGAAUAUUGGACAAUGGGCGAAAGCCUGAUCCAGCCAUGCCGCGUGUGUGAAGAAGGCCUUCGGGUUGUAAAGCACUUUCAGUGGGGAAGAAAGCCUUGGGGCUAAUACCCUCGAGGAAGGACAUCACCCACAGAAGAAGCACCGGCUAACUCCGUGCCAGCAGCCGCGGUAAUACGGAGGGUGCGAGCGUUAAUCGGAAUUACUGGGCGUAAAGCGCGCGUAGGCGGUCUGAUAAGCCGGUUGUGAAAGCCCCGGGCUCAACCUGGGAACGGCAUCCGGAACUGUCAGGCUAGAGUGCAGGAGAGGAAGGUAGAAUUCCCGGUGUAGCGGUGAAAUGCGUAGAGAUCGGGAGGAAUACCAGUGGCGAAGGCGGCCUUCUGGACUUACACUGACGCUGAGGUGCGAAAGCGUGGGUAGCAAACAGGAUUAGAUACCCUGGUAGUC
rnacentral:rRNA from 1 species